UACGAACUGUGCGAACGUUAUUCGGAAUCACUGGGCUUACAGGGUGCGUAGGCGGCUUAGCAAGUCAGGUGUGUAAGCCCCCGGCUCAACCGGGGAACUGCGCUUGAAACUGCUGAGCUCGAGUCAGCUAGAGGUACACGGAACUUCCAGUGGAGCGGUGAAAUGUGUUGAUAUUGGAAGGAACACCGGAGGCGAAAGCGGUGUACUGGGGCUGGUCUGACGCUGAGGCACGAAAGCCAGGGGAGCGAACGGG
rnacentral:rRNA from 1 species